rnacentral:rRNA from 1 species
GGAGGAUGCGAGCGUUAUCCGGAUUUAUUGGGUUUAAAGGGAGCGUAGACGGGAUGUUAAGUCAGCUGUGAAAGUUUGGGGCUCAACCUUAAAAUUGCAGUUGAAACUGGCAUUCUUGAGUGCGGCAGAGGCAGGCGGAAUUCGUGGUGUAGCGGUGAAAUGCUUAGAUAUCACGAAGAACUCCGAUUGCGAAGGCAGCUGACUGUAUCGUAACUGACGCUGAAGCUCGAAAGUGUGGGUAUC